AGAGUUUGAUCCUGGCUCAGGAUGAACGCUAGCGGCAGGCUUAACACAUGCAAGUCGAAGGGCAGCGAGGGGAGUGCUUGCACUCCCUGUCGGCGACUGGCGCACGGGUGAGUAACACGUAUGCAACCUGCCCUCCACAGGGGGACAACCUUCCGAAAGGGAGGCUAAUCCCGCGUAAAUCCCCCGGAGGCAUCUCCGGGGGAGGAAAACUCCGGUGGUGGAGGAUGGGCAUGCGGCGCAUUAGGCAGUCGGCGGGGUAACGGCCCACCGAACCGACGAUGCGUAGGGGUUCUGAGAGGAAGGUCCCCCACACUGGUACUGAGACACGGACCAGACUCCUACGGGAGGCAGCAGUGAGGAAUAUUGGUCAAUGGACGCGAGUCUGAACCAGCCAAGCCGCGUGAAGGAUUAAGGCCCUACGGGUCGUAAACUUCUUUUGCCAGGGAACAAAAGUGGGGACGUGUCCCCAUCUGCGUGUACCUGAAGAAAAAGCAUCGGCUAACUCCGUGCCAGCAGCCGCGGUAAUACGGAGGAUGCGAGCGUUAUCCGGAUUUAUUGGGUUUAAAGGGUGCGCAGGCGGUCUGUUAAGUCAGCGGUAAAAUUGCGGGGCUCAACCCCGUACAGCCGUUGAAACUGCCGGGCUCGAGUGGGCGAGAAGUAUGCGGAAUGCGUGGUGUAGCGGUGAAAUGCAUAGAUAUCACGCAGAACCCCGAUUGCGAAGGCAGCAUACCGGCGCCCGACUGACGCUGAGGCACGAAAGUGCGGGGAUCAAACAGGAUUAGAUACCCUGGUAGUCCGCACAGUAAACGAUGAAUGCUAGCUGUCCGGGGGGAUUGACCCCUGGGUGGCACAGCGAAAGCGUUAAGCAUUCCACCUGGGGAGUACGCCGGCAACGGUGAAACUCAAAGGAAUUGACGGGGGCCCGCACAAGCGGAGGAACAUGUGGUUUAAUUCGAUGAUACGCGAGGAACCUUACCCGGGCUCAAACGCCGAAGGGACAUUCCCCGAAAGGGGAUUGGCCAGCAAUGGUCUUCGGCGAGGUGCUGCAUGGUUGUCGUCAGCUCGUGCCGUGAGGUGUCGGCUUAAGUGCCAUAACGAGCGCAACCCCCACCGACAGUUGCUAACUGGUCAAGCAGAGGACUCUGUCGGGACUGCCGGCGCAAGCUGCGAGGAAGGCGGGGAUGACGUCAAAUCAGCACGGCCCUUACGUCCGGGGCGACACACGUGUUACAAUGGCAGGUACAGCGGGAUGCCAUGGGGCGACCCAGAGCGGAACCCGAAAACCUGUCUCAGUUCGGAUUGGAGUCUGCAACUCGACUCCAUGAAGCUGGAUUCGCUAGUAAUCGCGCAUCAGCCAUGGCGCGGUGAAUACGUUCACGGGCCUUGCACUCACCGCCCGUCA
rnacentral:rRNA from 1 species